rnacentral:rRNA from 1 species
CACGUAGGGCGCAAGCGUUUGUCCGGAAUUAUUGGGCGUAAAGAGCUCGUAGGCGGUCUGUUACGUCUGCUGUGAAAACCCGGGGCUUAACCCUGGGCUUGCAGUGGAUACGGGCAGACUAGAGGCAGGUAGGGGAGAAUGGAAUUCCCGGUGUAGCGGUGAAAUGCGCAGAUAUCGGGAGGAACACCGGUGGCGAAGGCGGUCCUCUGGGCCUGACCUGACGCUGAGGAGCGAAAGCGUGGGGAGCGAACAGG